AUUGAACGCUGGCGGCAGGCCUAACACAUGCAAGUCGAGCGCGCGGCGGACGGGUGAGUAACGUAUGGGGAUUUGCUAGAUAGAUGGGGAUAACUACGGGAAACGGUGGCUAAUACCGCAUACUAUCGGAUGAACGCAUAUGGUAUUAGCUAGUAGGUGGGGUAAAGGCUCACCUAGGAGACGAUCUAUAGCUGGUCUGAGAGGGUGAUCAGCCACACUGGGACUGAGACACGGCCCAGACUCCUACGGGAGGCAGCAGUGGGGAAUAUUGCGCAAUGGGCGAAAGCCUGAUGCAGCCAUGCCGCGUGUAUGAAGAAGGCCUUAGGGUUGUAAAGUACUUUCAGCGGGGAGGCGUUACCCGCUGAAGAAGCACCGGCUAACUCCGUGCCAGCAGCCGCGGUAAUUC
rnacentral:rRNA from 1 species